ACUCCUACGGGAGGCAGCAGUGAGGAAUAUUGGACAAUGGGUGGAAGCCUGAUCCAGCCAUCCCGCGUGCAGGAAGACGGCCCUAUGGGUUGUAAACUGCUUUUAUCUGGGGAUAAACCUACUUACGUGUAAGUAGCUGAAGGUACCAGAAGAAUAAGCACCGGCUAACUCCGUGCCAGCAGCCGCGGUAAUACGGAGGGUGCAAGCGUUAUCCGGAUUUAUUGGGUUUAAAGGGUCCGUAGGCGGACUGAUAAGUCAGUGGUGAAAUCCGACAGCUUAACUGUCGAACUGCCAUUGAUACUGUUAGUCUUGAGUAAGGUUGAAGUGGCUGGAAUAAGUAGUGUAGCGGUGAAAUGCAUAGAUAUUACUUAGAACACCAAUUGCGAAGGCAGGUCACUAAGUCUUAACUGACGCUGAUGGACGAAAGCGUGGGGAGCGAACAGGAUUAGAAACCCGAGUAGUCCC
rnacentral:rRNA from 1 species